UACACGACCGUACCGCAAACCGACACUGGUGCGCGAGAUGAGUAUUCUAAGGCGCUUGAGAGAACUCAGGAGAAGGAACUCGGCAAAUUGACACCGUAACUUCGGAAGAAGGUGUGCCUUUAGUAGGUGAAGGGAUUUACUCCUGGAGCCCAAUGAGGUUGCAAAAAAUCGGUGGCUGCGACUGUUUAUUAAAAACACAGCACUCUGCAAACACGAAAGUGGACGUAUAGGGUGUGACGCCUGCCCGGUGCUGGAAGAUUAAAUGAUGGGGUGCAAGCUCUUGAUUGAAGUCCCAGUAAACGGCGGCCGUAACUAUAACGGUCCUAAGGUAGCGAAAUUCCUUGUCGGGUAAGUUCCGACCUGCACGAAUGGCGUAACGAUGGCCACACUGUCUCCUCCUGAGACUCAGCGAAGUUGAAAUGUUUGUGAUGAUGCAAUCUCCCCGCGGAAAGACGGAAAGACCCCAUGAACCUUUACUGUAGCUUUGUAUUGGACUUUGAACAGAUCUGUGUAGGAUAGGUGGGAGGCUUUGAAGCAGGGUCGCUAGAUCUUGUGGAGCCAACGUUGGAAUACCACCCUGGUGUGUUUGAGGUUCUAACCUAGGCCCGUAAUCCGGGUUGGGGACAGUGCAUGGUAGGCAGUUUGACUGGGGCGGUCUCCUCCCAAAGUGUAACGGAGGAGUUCGAAGGUACGCUAGUUACGGUCGGACAUCGUGACGAUAGUGCAACGGCAUAAGCGUGCUUAACUGCGAGACUGACAAGUCGAGCAGAUGCGAAAGCAGGACAUAGUGAUCCGGUGGUUCUGUAUGGAAGGGCCAUCGCUCAACGGAUAAAAGGUACUCUGGGGAUAACAGGCUGAUACCGCCCAAGAGUUCAUAUCGACGGCGGUGUUUGGCACCUCGAUGUCGCCUCAUCUCAUCCUGGGGCUGUAGCCGGUCCCAAGGGUAUGGCUGUUCGCCAUUUAAAGAGGUACGUGAGCUGGGUUUAAAACGUCGUGAGACAGUUUGGUCCCUAUCUUCCGUGGGCGCUGCAGAUUUGAGGAAGCCUGCUCCUAGUACGAGAGGACCGGAGUGGACGCACCUCUGGUGUAUCGGUUGUCACGCCAGUGGCAUUGCCGAGUAGCUAUGUGCGGAAGAGAUAACCGCUGAAAGCAUCUAAGCGGGAAACUCGUUUCAAGAUGAGAUCUGCCGGGGCCUUGAGCCCCCUGAAGAGUCGUUCAAGACCAGGACGUUGAUAGGUCGGGUGUGGAAGCGCAGUAAUGCGUUAAGCUAACCGAUACUAAUUGCUCGUGCGGCUUGAUCAA
rnacentral:rRNA from 1 species